rnacentral:rRNA from 1 species
UACAGAGGUCCCAAGCGUUGUUCGGAUUCAUUGGGCGUAAAGGGUGCGUAGGCGGCGCGGUAAGUCGGGUGUGAAAUCUCGGGGCUUAACUCCGAAACUGCAUUCGAUACUGCCGUGCUUGAGGACUGGAGAGGAGACUGGAAUUUACGGUGUAGCGGUGAAAUGCGUAGAUAUCGUAAGGAAGACCAGUGGCGAAGGCGGGUCUCUGGACAGUUCCUGACGCUGAGGAGCGAAAGCGUGGGUAGCGAACAGG